AGAGGAGACGAGUGCUCUAAACCAGUAUCAUGGCUCCAGUUCCUCUGACAAGGAUUCACAUGGGGUUGCAAUUCUGACUGUGCUGGUGAUGCUGGUUCCAGGUCCCUCAGGAACCCCUCCCCCAGUCUGGUCUGCCCUUGAACUCUAUACUGGCCCCAGGGUAUCCCAGGAUUGUCAGAAAGGCCUGGCCAGGAUUCACCUGGGAGAGGGAUCAGCAUCUCUGCAAAGUUGUUGGAUUGAAAGAACUUUCAUUUUGAGCUACAUCAUUGAAGAGCUUUAAAUCUGAAAAUAAGAAAGACGUUGAACCCUAUUACUCACAUCUCUUUGUCAUUUGAAGCAGAUCCCGAACCACUCAAAAGGACAAAACAAGGAAAUAGCAAUGAAAUUGGAUUCAGUGAAUGGGGUAAGGGUAUUAAGUGUCUGAAAUAUAAGAGAUAAAAAAAUUAGUUUUUACCUUUUUUUCUAUUUUCUAAAUGUUUUGGUGGCUAGAAUAAGAUAUACUUUGAACUCAAGAGCAAUAAAUGUUAAUAUAUUAAAAGUAGCUUUAUGAAAUAUGGAAAGUAUCUUUAUUUCAAAAUACUUCAAAGUAAUCAUCUGAAUAUUUAUCAGAAAUAUUAAGACAACUUAUUAAAUCCUGUAUUAAAAUGAUUGCUUAUUACUUUUUGUUUAUACUAGUCAGAAGUGAUUCUCUUCCACAUUUUAGAUUUUUCAGAGUAAAAAGGAUAUAAUUUUAGACUUUCAAUUGAAUAUAAACUGGGGUUUUUCCACACGAUUUGUGGACAUGGCUGUCUGAUGGUGACUCUUAGGUAUUUAUGCUAAAAAUGUUAUUUUGGGGAUCCUUGGGAAUGGACUCUGAUAUUUAUUUAUUUAUUUAUUUAUUU
rnacentral:lncRNA from 1 species